ensembl:lncRNA
GAUAGUUUGGUUUUGAAAGCCCUUUCUCCUACGUUACAGCUGUCAAAUUCUGGUGUAAGAGGAAUAUAGAAUCUAUGUAAAAUAUUGUCUCGAGUUGCAAUUGAUCCUGUGUUUUAAUUUCUGGGGGAAAACAUUCUCAUGCUAGGAAUUUUAGCAGGUUUCUUAUAUGGUUAGACAAUUCAUUUUAUAGAAGUUUCUGAUGUGUGGCCAAAUUCAAUUCAGGUUCAUAUUUUGUAACUAUAAAAGUCAUUGUUGAUUUUUUUUUCCUGAAUGAAGGAGAUCGAAAAUGAAGCAGAGGAAUUCCUCAAAGAGCUGGAGCAACGUUGUCAGGACCUGGAUGUAGAUCUUUGAUGGCAAACGUUCUCUGCCCUUUUCUUCGGUAAAGGUGGCGCAGUCGUGUGUGGAGACAGUUGAUUUAGGCCAGGAUAGUUUGGUUUUGAAAGCCCUUGCUCCAGUGUGAUUAUUGUCAAAUUCUGUUGCAACUCAAAGUGGCUGAACUGCCUCCAAACAGACUCCGGGGGUGAACCCUGCCCAUCAGUCUGAGACUCCGCAGCCUUCCCCGAGGCAGGCAGCGUCGGUUUCCUGUCUGUUCAUGGCAUUCCUUCCAGUCCGCUUCGCUCCUUCUGCCACCCAUCUUUCAAUUUCCACGCAACAAACAAACAAUCUUCCAUUAUCAUAUAACCAGCGGGCAUGGGCACCCUUCACACCACCGGCGCCCUCUGGAGGUUGCUCUUGGCCUCUUUGGGUACAGGGCCACCGGGAGACUCAGGCUCAUCAUCCUCCUGGCAGGUCUCCCCUUUUUGAUUCUUACUCCUUCCAACAUUUUCUUACAGUUUCGCUGUACCAGCAAAUUCCCUGAUGGAUGCAGCUGACAUCGUCCAGGAGCCCUUCUUUGCCUGGGACGUCCCCAGUGUAAGCGACUCCUCUCUGGAUGAUGACAGCAGCAUCGGGUCAGGGGACUCUGUCCGAGCACUCCUGGAGAGGUACCCCCUAUCUCUUGGUUUGGAUCCUGAGGUUCAGGCAAACGGACAAGGUAGGAGGCCUGGCUUCUGGCCUAUGGGCAGUGUGCCGGUUCCUCCCUGCUCAGGGUUGGGCUCCCUGGUUGGGGCAUCCCAGUGUGAACUGAGGUCACUGGGAGGCCAAGGCCGCAGCUCUAAGAAAGAGAGCUGAGAGGGUUGGGACUCCUGCCUUCCAAGCAUCGCCUGUCAUUUCAUGGCGGCUUCUUCUGUCUUCUAGUGCCAAGGAGAGGCUGAAGUUAAUGAUGAGGAUGGCACCGGAUGUCUCCCCAACGGUAAGCAAGGAAAGGCCCAGAUCCCCGUACUUCCCAAGGCAUCCUAUAUCUUUCAUCCAGGUCCUGACCUCACCCUCUCCUGGCGCGGAUGGGCCUGCCUGGCCUCUGCUUGCCGUAGGCUGGGCUAGCUCUGCUCUCUGACCUCAGGCAUGGUUUGGGGAGCGAGGCCACUUUCAGCUGAAAACCUCUCAUUCACAAGAAUCAUCAGAGGCAGGAGAAGAAGAGGAACAUCUUGAAAGGUACAGUGUGCUUAGCUAAAGGACCUCUGAAGCCCUCCCCCCCAGGGAUUGCAGCACCCUCCCAAAGAGGAAGGGCUGAGGUGGAGCAGGGCUGGCAGCCUUCAGCCCCCUGACUCCCUCCUGCCUUGUCCCUUGUCCUGGAGGGUGGAGUCCUGCUCACGGAAAGCCAC